rnacentral:rRNA from 1 species
AUGCAAGUCGAACGCAGUAGCAAUACUGAGUGGCAGACGGGUGAGUAACAUGUGGGAAUCUGCCUUGUGGUUCAGGACAACAUUGGGAAACCGAUGCUAAUACUGGAUAAGCCCUUACGGGGAAAGUUUUAAUGCCAUAAGAUGAGCCCGCAUUUGAUUAGUUAGUUGGUGAGGUAAUGGCGCACCAAGACAAUGAUCAAUAGCUGAUCUGAGAGGAUGAUCAGCCACACUGGGACUGAGACACGGCCCAGACUCCUACGGGAGGCAGCAGUGGGGAAUCUUGCACAAUGGAGGAAACUCUGAUGCAGCGAUGCCGCGUGAGUGAAGAAGGCCUUUGGGUUGUAAAGCUCUUUUGUAGGGGAAGAUAAUGACUGUACCCUAAGAAUAAGGUCCGGCUAACUUCGUGCCAGCAGCCGCGGUAAUACGAAGGGACCUAGCGUAGUUCGGAAUUACUGGGCGUAAAGCGCGCGUAGGCCGUUGAGUUAGUUAAUUGUGAAAUCCCAAAGCUUAACUUUGGAACUGCAAUUAAAACUGCUCGACUAGAGUUUGAUAGAGGAAAGCGGAAUACAUAGUGUAGAGGUGAAAUUCGUAGAUAUUAUGUAGAACACCAGUUGCGAAGGCGGCUUUCUGGAUCAACACUGACGCUGAGGCGCGAAAGUAUGGGUAGCAAAGAGGAUUAGAUACCCUCGUAGUCCAUACCAUAAACGAUGAUUGCUAGAUGUU